UCCAAUACUAUGCACAUCACAUGAACAGUGAAUUGAAACCUGCUCGGGAAGACCUUUCGCCCAAUACUACCAAAACAUCUAGACCGUGGCAACUAAGUCGUCCAUAGCUUCAACUCCCUCUCUCUCAUCUCUCCACUAUUUUCUUCUUCUUUGGCUUUUAUUAUCUACCAUAUGUUCUACUCCCUGUUAUUUGCACCUCGAUGUUCUAUAUAAGUGGGUCACAUGAGCCACACUGAUGAGUAAACUAAAAAGAAAUAAUGACAUCUUCCAUAGUCUCCUGCAUGUUUUUCUUUCUUCUUCUUCUUAUUGUGUUUCCGCAUAUGGAAAAAUCCCUUGGCGCAGAAACGGAGCUCCACGAACUCACUACGCUGGGCUACAAAUCAACACUAGAAUUGCCAAACCAUAUAUAAAUGAGUAAUGCAUUUGGUUGGCGCUGGUGCAGAAGAGACAAACCAUCCCGAUCAAGUGACAGUCCAAAGGCAACGCCGCUAUUUUAUUGGUCCUCCGUCUAUUCCGUGCCAACUCUACCAGCGAUGCAAGCGUACUCCACCCCCUACAACCCCUCCGU